rnacentral:rRNA from 1 species
AUGAAGGCCGGUCGGUUGCGCUUGUGCCGAACAUGCCAAGCCUGGCGCUGCUCGAGCUUUGCUCUCCCCAGAUGCUGCUCCUGCCUGUUCCGUCGCCUUCCAGGCCGCCGGGGUUUGAGGCCUCCCCAACGCCACCCCUGUUGUCCAGUGGGCUGCUGCGCCGCACUCCUUCGCCUGUGCGGCAUCGUAGGGUUGCUGUCGGUGCGGUCGGCCUCCAGUGCCUUGCACCCCUGUUUGAAGAUCGCCAGGAAGCCAUCCUGCCCACACCCACCCCUGCUCUAA